AUUGAACGCUGGCGGCAGGCCUAACACAUGCAAGUCGAACGAGUGGCGGACGGGUGAGUAAUGCUUGGGAAACUGCCCGAUGGAGGGGGAUAACUACGGGAAACUGUAGCUAAUACCGCGUACCAUCGGAUGAGCCCAAAUGGGAUUAGGUAGUUGGUGGGGUAAAGGCUCACCUAGGCGACGAUCCCUAGCUGGUCUGAGAGGAUGACCAGCCAAACGGGAACUGAGACACGGGCCAGAAUCCUACGGGAGGGAGCAGUGGGGAAUAUUGCACAAUGGGGGCAAGCCUGAUGCAGCCAGGCCGGGUGUAUGAAGAAGGCCGUCGGGGUGUAAAGUACUUUCAGCGAGGAGGCGUUACUCGCAGAAGAAGCACCGGCUAACUCCGGGCCAGCAGCCGCGGUAAUAC
rnacentral:rRNA from 1 species